UACAGAGGUGGCAAGCGUUGUUCGGAAUUACUGGGCGUAAAGGGCGCGUAGGCGGCCUUCUAAGUCAGACGUGAAAUCCCCCGGCUUAACCUGGGAACUGCGUCUGAUACUGGGAGGCUUGAGUAUGGGAGAGGGAUGUAGAAUUCCAGGUGUAGCGGUGAAAUGCGUAGAUAUCUGGAGGAAUACCGGUGGCGAAGGCGGCAUCCUGGACCAUAACUGACGCUGAGGCGCGAAAGCUAGGGGGAGCAAACGGG
rnacentral:rRNA from 1 species